AUGUACCAGGACGGGAAAACACAAACUAUACAUUGGAAGAAUGGAAAAGACUCACAUUACCUGUGUCUGUAGACACAAGAGGCCUUGAAACGCUGAGUUCGUGCGAGAUGUACAACGCGUCGGACUGGACAGACAGUUCUGAAGUUCAGAAUUCUCCAAUAACGGAAUGUCAACACGGCUAUGAAUAUGAUAAGACGUGGUUCGACCUGACUGUGACGUCGCAAGAAGACUGGGUCUGCGACAAGGAACUGCGU